rnacentral:misc_RNA from 1 species
UUUCCGUAGGUGAACCUGCGGAAGGAUCAUUACUGAGUUAGGGUCUUUACGGCCCGACCUCCAACCCUUUGUUUAAUCUACCAUGUUGCUUUGGCAGGCCCGCUUAGAAAUGGGCCGCCGGAGACCUUUGAGUCUCUGGUCAGUGCCUGCCAGUAGCCUUUCUAAAUUCAUUUAUAACCGUGUCUGAAUAUACAAAGAAAAAUUAAAAUAAAACUUUCAACAACGGAUCUCUUGGUUCUG